GAUGAACGCUGGCGGCGUGCCUAAUACAUGCGAGUCGAGCGAACAGACGAGGAGCUUGCUCCUCUGACGUUAGCGGCGGACGGGUGAGUAACACGUGGAUAACCUACCUAUAAGACUGGGAUAACUUCGGGAAACCGGAGCUAAUACCGGAUAAUAUAUUGAACCGCAUUGUUCAAUAGUUAAAGACGGUUUUGCUGUCACUUAUAGAUGGAUCCGCACCGCAUUAGCUAGUUGGUAAGGUAACGGCUUACCAAGGCAACGAUGCGUAGCCGACCUGAAAGGGUGGUCGGCCACACUGUAUCUGAGGCACGGUCCAGACUCCGGCAGGGGGCAGCAGUAGAGAAUCUUCCGCGAGGCACGAGAGCCUGACGGAGCAACGCCGCGUGAAUGAUGAAGGUGUUCGGAUCGUAGAACUCUGUUAUUAUGAGGGAAGAAGUGUGUAAGUAACUGUGCACAUCUUGACGGUACCGAGACAGAAAGCCACGGCUAACUACGUG
rnacentral:rRNA from 1 species